AGAGUUUGAUUAUGGCUCAGAACGAACGCUGGUGGCGUGUCUUAUACAUGCAAGUCGAGCGAGGCAGCAAUGCCGAGCGGCGAACGGGUGAGUAACGCGUAAGCAAUCUGCCCCAUAUCAGGAAAUACCCGUGCCAACGCGCGGUUAAUGUCCAGGAGAGUGGCCCUCCGCAUGGAGGGUUGACUAGAGAUUUAUCGGUAUGGGAUGAGCUUGCGUCCGAUUAGCUAGUUGGCGGGGCAACGGCCCACCAAGGCGACGAUCGGUAGCCGGCCUGAGAGGGUGAUCGGCCACAUUGGGACUGAGAUACGGCCCAGACUCCUACGGGAGGCAGCAGUAGGGAAUAUUGCACAAUGGGGGAAACCCUGAUGCAGCAACGCCAACCGUGUGGGAAGAAGCAUUUCGGUGUGUAAACCACUGUCAUGAGGGAAUAAGGCCCUUAUCCGUAAGGGACUUGAAUGUACCUUGAGAGGAAGCACCGGCAAACUUCGUGCCAGCCGCGGC
rnacentral:rRNA from 1 species